GGAUGGUGGUUGUGGUUGAGGAGUAUUUUCUGGAGGUUGAGGUGGAGGUCUGUGGAGGUCUAUGAUCGGAUUCCACAGUCCAACACAGUGGCUUCCUAACAGCGUACUCGGAGUAUCAUAUUUACCGGUUUCUGCCCCAUAACUAUUGCCAAGGAACAGAAACAAUUGACCAUUUUGAUGUUAACUAUAUACCAGGCUAGUUAUUACGGUGGAGGGGACAGUUUUGGGGUUGGAAAUAAGCAAACAUAAAAAGGUACGAUAAUCUGGCACCCCUUCUUCGUAAUCGCCCCAACCAAACGUUAUUCAAUCUUCUACUCUCCAUAAUGGUUAGGCUUUCGAUGCAACACCAUAUACAUAAGAGACUUCCCGUUUAGUUUCCUCAACUUUCUUAACUUAAAUAUCGACACCAGACAUACUGUACAAGGAUUUUUUUUGGUCUCUAGUAUUGGUUUGGGAGCUUACUAAACCAUCAUGGCGGACUGUGAAAAUGGCCCUUAGAGAGGUUGAGGAUCGAGAUUGUGGGGUUAGGGAGGAGCACAUGGAGCUGGUUGAGGGCGAUAUUGUUGAGUUUGAAGAGGAGGCAGUGGAUAUUUCGUGUUUUGAGGAGGACCAAAUGUAAAGCGGGGAAACGAACCAGUGACCUAAUUCACAAGCACACAUCGGUUAUUACAGGUUAUCGAUUUUCCUAGUUUUCCCCGCAUUGCACAAAUUAAUUCCCAUUCCGUGAAGGACCCAGAGGUGAUGGUGAUGCUGUCGAGAGUCCUGUUAAGGGAUGUUUGAUGGUGAUCGACACCCAUGACCCUCUGACAGUCUAUUAAUUAAACUCGAGGAUACUCCCUGUGGGCUGUGUGUUGCUAUAUCUUAUUUAUAGGGGGAUAUAUAGGAAACGAGCUGGAUUUGUAGGGUUCUGUCACCAAAUAGGAGGGACACCUUACUUAUCUUUUAAUGAAUCUAUAAGGGGGGUCGAGCAGGGUGAAGCAGGAGGUUCGAAGGUUUAUAGAGGACAUUAUCUAACAAUGGAAGACCAGUUUGUUGAAUAGGAAACAAGGAGGUUUGAAGGUUGGUAAAGGACAUAUCAAUUAUCUAACAAUGGAAGACCAGUUUGUUAAAUAGGAAACGAGGAGGUUUGAAGGUUGGUAAAGGACAUAUAUAUGGCAACAGAAGACCAGUUAGUUAAGUAAGAAAUGAGAUAUGGAAGGAUGCAUAAACGGAAUCUUUAUUUUUGGCUUGAACUCCCUCCUUGAUUCCAUUUGGGGGUCAUUCUAGGCCACAAACAAAGUCCUCAGGAGGUUAACCUCGGCCCAGCAAGGAGGUCAUGUGGCUCUCCCCAUGUGGGUAAAUUACAGAAGGGUAAAGAUUCGUUUUAGGUCCUGGGGCGGGUGUUUUGUAAUGCAGACUCAUCGGUGGCAUGCUAGUGAGACAAAGAGACUGAAUGAUAAACUUCUUGAGGUCUACUUGUUGAUUGAGUAAAACAUUCUGUCUUUGUUUGCCUGGUUGUUAGCAUAGCAAUCGAGAUGUCUUAUGAACUACAAUAGGGUGUAUUUUAUUGUUUAUUCCAGUUACAGUAGUUUGACAUAUAAAGCAUUUUUAAUUAUACAUAUUGAAUAUCACAUUAUUCACAUAACAUUUAACAUAUGUACAAGUUAAGUGAUGCAAAGGCUAUAUCUUACAUGUAUGUAUUGGUACGUACAUGUUCUUUAUCAUAUGCACAGCAACCUAUAUGAAAAUAAGGCAAAAAAUAAUGUAUAUUAGCAAGUACUUUUAUGAAGAUAGUUUUAUAUUAGCAAGUACUUUUCUAAAGAUAGUUCAGUGACUAUAUGAAAAUGUUGGCUCACAAAAUGUCUAAAAACAUACUUGUGAUGGUCAGUAUAACAACAACAACAAAAGUAUUGCUUGCUGCUCUAAUAAUAAGCACCUUUUUGAGAACCCCCUUAAGAAACAAAUUUGUAAUACAAUAUUAAUAUUCAUAUUUAUUCCAAGAAAAUUAACUAUUAGCAACUUUUUCAUAAUAAAUUAGAUAAUUUGCUAAAAGAAACAUUAAUCUAAAUGCAGUUGGAGCUGGCAUGAUAUAUGCAGGAUGGGUUGGCAUACAAAUGUCAAGCAUAUAGUGCUGAGAAUCAUAAAAAUUGCAACAGAAAGUAUCAAGUUGUGGAGUGUUGUAGGAGAGUGAGAGAUCAGAGAUGAUUGUCUGAGACUAAAGCUGAUAAAGAACAUUUUGUUUUAUCCUGUUUUAAAAAUGCAUUUUCAACUUAUGAGUACAUGGAAUGCAUAUAGUAGUAUAUUCAGUGGGUAAUACUUAAAAAAUCUUUGAAGGAAGAAGUGGAAAUGGGCUCAGAUUGCUCAAUUAGAAAAAUUGGAGAUUAUAAACUUCAAAAUCUUAUUUAGACAGAGUAGUACAGUGCACUUCAGUAUAGCUCAAAUACAGCCAUUUUUAUUUUGAACAAUGGAUAGUAGGAGGCAAGAAUGGUGCAGGGAAGUUAACUUAGAGUACGUUUAGGAUACUUCAUGAAGGAGAAGUGUGUUGAAUGGGAAUAUGAAGAAUGAAAUCAGUCAAUAUAACAAACAUUUACAUUAAAAAAGAAGCACAUCAAAGGAGAAUCCAGGCAGCAAAAAUAAAAAUCUUCACUGACUUUAGGAAGAACACAUUGUUAUAACUCACCUCAAUUGGAAAGCCCCCUAAACCAAUAGUGUAAAGAGCUGCUUCCCAUUUCACUGGUCACAGUUUGAUUCCUGGCCACAGCAAAGAUUAUCUCCCCCUUCCCAGGCUAGAUCAAUUUCUCGUGAGUUGCUACAGAGGUGGUUAACGGUGAGCGUUCUUUCCUGUGUAUAUCUCUAGGGCAGGAAAUGGAUAGCUCCUUCUCUCAGAGGGGUCAUUUUUGUUACCAUAGAAAAAUUUAAGAUGAGUAACUUAA